rnacentral:rRNA from 1 species
GUGCCAGCAGCCGCGGUAAUACGGAGGGGGCAAGCGUUGUUCGGAAUCACUGGGUGUAAAGGGUGCGUAGGCGGUCCGUUAAGUCUGAUGUGAAAGCCCUGGGCUCAACUCAGGAAUUGCAUUGGAAACUGGCGGGCUGGAGUACGGGAGAGGGAAGCGGAAUUCCUGGUGUAGCGGUGAAAUGCGUAGAUACCAGGAGGAACACCGGUGGCGAAGGCGGUUUCCUGGCCCAGUACUGACGCUGAGGCACGAAAGCGUGGGGAGCGAACGGGAUUAGAUACCCCCGUAGUCC